rnacentral:rRNA from 1 species
UAGCUAGUUGGUGGGGUAGAGGCCUACCAAGGCGACGAUGGGUAGCCGGCCUGAGAGGGUGGCCGGCCACACUGGGACUGAGACACGGCCCAGACUCCUACGGGAGGCAGCAGUGGGGAAUUUUGCGCAAUGCUCGAGAGAGUGACGCAGCGACGCCGCGUGAAUGACGAAGGCCUUCGGGUCGUAAAGUUCUUUCGACAGGGAAGAAAAUGUAUAUCAGUAACUGGGUAUAUAGUGACGGUACCUGUAUAAGCAGCCCCGGCUAACUCCGUGCCAGCAGCCGCGGUAAUACGGAGGGGGCGAGCGUUGUUCGGAGUGACUGGGCGUAAAGAGCACGUAGGCGGUGUUGUAAGUCAUUAGUCAAAGGCUAGAGCUCAACUUUAGUAAGGCUAGUGAUACUAUAAUACUAGAGUAUCAGAGAGGAUUGCAGAAUUCCUGGUGUAGCGGUGAAAUGCGUAGAUAUCAGGAGGAAUACCGGUAGCGAAGGCGGCAAUCUGGCUGGAAACUGACGCUGAGGUGCGAAAGCGUGGGUAGCAAACAGGAUUAGAUACCCUGGUAGUCCACGCUGUAAACGAUGGAUGCUAGGUGUUGGGCAAUUAUGUUCAGUGCCGCAGCAAACGCGAUAAGC